AAUUUACAUGUCCGCUGUAAAAUAAUGUGGAAAAACAUGUAACUGUGAAAAAACAUAACAUUUCCGUUUUUUUUAUUGGACUUAAUCACUACUCUGACUGUUCCGCUUGUCAAAGUAGUUCUGCUGCGUUCAAUGUUUCGUUUCGUAACGAAUUUCUUUUCAUAAUAUCAUCUCGUAAUAAUAUAAUCAUACAUUCUUUGUUGAAAUACGCGGACAUUUCAACACUGUAGAGUUUAAAUAUCGAAAUGAAGGAAUUCCCGCCCGGCGCAAGGAUACAGUCUCUUCAGCACACGGUGGAGCAGCGGAGCUGACUGGAGUCACUCGACCGUUAGGAUUGCUGCUGUUCGUAGACGUGAAGCGAAAAUAAGCAGAUGCCUUUUCAAGAUAAACCGCAAGGGAUCAAAAGCUGAGAAGAAACUUCAAGAAAGCAGAUGACGUUCAGUCCACAGCAUGUGUGUCAAACUCUGCUCCUGGGGGAUCACUGUCCUGCAAAAAUGCUCCAACCCGCUCCAGAACACCGGCCUUGGAAGUUUCUAGCAAUCCUAAAGACAUUGUUUAGCUGGUUCAGGUGUGUUUAAUUAGUUUCUAUAGGGCCACUGUCCUGCAGAGUUCAGCUCCAUCCCUGAGUUUGACACCCUUAUUCAAAAGGUUCUUACACUCUGAACUGAAACUGCAGACUAUGACUAGAAGACAUACAUGGAGAACAUUCUUCAAUCUCCCUCCAUUCACUUGCACAGAAAUUUGCAUCAGUGUCACACGGACUUUAAGAACACUCACUCUUUCCUGCUUUGUUUAAUUGUUUGUUUUUUAAUGACUCCUUGUAAUUCAUCUGUCGACCAGUGAUCAGGUUUUGAAGGCAGACUGUUUAAUUAUUAUUCCACUGUAACUUUUUUUUCUUUGUUGUAUCUGUAUAUUUAGUAUACUGCUGUAAUUGAAACCAUUACUAGUUUUGGCUUUUUAUAAAAUAAACUAAUAACAAACAUUA